GCUCCGGUGGCCUAGUGGUUAGAGCGUCCACCUCGCAUGCGGGAGGUGUUGGGUUAAAUCCCCUGUCGAGUCA